rnacentral:tRNA from 1 species
AGAAAAAUAAGCUAACUAAAGCUAUUAGGUUCAUACCCUAAAUAUAGAAUAAUAAUCUUUUUUCUG